rnacentral:lncRNA from 1 species
CUACUUCUCAGUGGCCACUGGAGAGCUCUGAACCCAGCCCAGGGUCAACUGCCCGGCACUGUCAGGCAGUUCCUCUGACUCCACAGUACAUUCUAAUUGCAGUCACUGAAAUGGAAAUCAGGACACAGACAUGAGCACAUACAGAGAAAAGACUGUGCCAGGAGCAAGCUGCCAUCUGCAAGCCAAGGAGAGAGCUCUCAGAAAAAAACGAUCUUGCCGACACCUUCCUUUUGCACUUCCAGCCUCCAGGACUCCUGCAAGUGCUCAGAGGACACCCAACCCUAUGAUCUCAGCCAACUCAUGAAGUUUGAUUUCACAACUUAGUGAUGUCUUCCCAGUGGAAUCCUAAAUGAUAAGGAAAAUGGUAUAGAGCCAAGACUUGAACAUUAACAACCCAGGAGCACAGAAACAGCACAGUUAGCUGAGAGGCGUUAUGGAGAGAAGCAACUGAAUGCACACUGAGCGCUGUGAGAAGUCCACGACAGUGGGGAACAGCGCCCACCGUCACAAAAAGAAAGACCCUCGGCAGGUACUUUAGAGUCACGUUCAUGCUGUAAUAUGUGGGGAAGAAAGACUAUUCCAAAUGGAUCUGGCUCUUUAAAACAA